GCGAGCGUCGUAUAACGGCUAAUAUCCCUGCCUUCCAAGCAGGUGCUGCGGGUUCGAUUCCCGCCGCUCGCACCA
rnacentral:tRNA from 1 species